rnacentral:rRNA from 1 species
GUAGGGUGCGAGCGUUGUCCGGAUUUAUUGGGCGUAAAGAGCUCGUAGGCGGUUUGUCGCGUCGGCCGUGAAAUCUCCACGCUUAACGUGGAGCGUGCGGUCGAUACGGGCAGACUUGAGUUCGGUAGGGGAGACUGGAAUUCCUGGUGUAGCGGUGAAAUGCGCAGAUAUCAGGAGGAACACCGGUGGCGAAGGCGGGUCUCUGGGCCGAUACUGACGCUGAGGAGCGAAAGCGUGGGGAGCGAACAGGAUUAGAUACCCUGGUAGUCCACGCUGUAAACGUUGGGCGCUAGGUGUGGGCGACAUCCACGUUGUCCGUGCCGUAGCUAACGCAUUAAGCGCCCCGCCUGGGGAGUACGGCCGCAAGGCUAAA